CGGCGCUACAAAACGGAGGUGAUGGCCUUUCUCUCUCGAUGAUUCGAUUCCGUCGAAUGAGUUGAACAUCAUUUGGAACCAUGCCAACCGAGGUGUCACAUGGUCUGGUUGGCGCAGCAGCAGCAGCUGGCAAUAAA
ensembl:ncRNA ZC190.14 ncRNA